CUUCUAAAUUACGUGUUACAUUUUUUAUAUUCUUUGCUUUACUUUUACUUUUACUAUACUUAAUACUGUAAUCCUUUCCAUUUUGAAGGAGUCCCACUGAAGUCUUGGAUCUAUUUCAUUUUUUCCUAUCUUGUUACUAUGUUUGUGUAUAGUUAGGUCUUUCCACUUUUCUGUGGGAAGACUUAUUGAUUUUCUUCUGAUUAUUUUUUUUCUUCUUCUUCCACCACUUUUAUUUCUUGCAUAUGAAUUUUGUUUCGUAAGAUGUCGCUUAGAUAUUUGGUAUAUGAUAUCGAACAGUUUAUGCGCUUUUGAAAUUGUAGGAAUUAUCUCCCCGAACACUGUUUUCCUUGUGAGUGCAUCUCCUCCGUAACCGUAAAAGAAAGCGACAAAUUUAUUUUACCAAAUUACUCGUUAUAUCCUCAGGAUGUUU
rnacentral:lncRNA from 1 species